rnacentral:rRNA from 1 species
UACGGGGGGGGCAAGCGUUGUUCGGAAUUACUGGGCGUAAAGGGCUCGUAGGCGGCCAACUAAGUCGGACGUGAAAUCCCUCGGCUUAACCGGGGAACUGCGUCCGAUACUGGAUGGCUGGAGGUUGGGAGAGGGAUGCGGAAUUCCAGGUGUAGCGGUGAAAUGCGUAGAUAUCGAGAGGAACACCAGUGGCGCAAGCGGCUGACUGGCCGAGACCUGACGCUGAGACACGACGGCGUGGGGAGCAAACCGG